rnacentral:rRNA from 1 species
AUCAUUAACUGAAUCCAUAGGUUAAUGAGGCGAACCGGGGGAACUGAAACAUCUAAGUACCCCGAGGAAAAGAAAUCAACCGAGAUUCCCCCAGUAGCGGCGAGCGAACGGGGAGGAGCCCAGAGCCUGAAUCAGUGUGUGUGUUAGUGGAAGCGUCUGGAAAGGCGUGCGAUACAGGGUGACAGCCCCGUACACAAAAAUGCACAUAUUGUGAGCUCGAUGAGUAGGGCGGGACACGUGGUAUCCUGUCUGAAUAUGGGGGGACCAUCCUCCAAGGCUAAAUACUCCUGACUGACCGAUAGUGAACCAGUACCGUGAGGGAAAGGCGAAAAGAACCCCGGCGAGGGGAGUGAAAAAGAACCUGAAACCGUGUACGUACAAGCAGUGGGAGCCUCUUAAUGGGGUGACUGCGUACCUUUUGUAUAAUGGGUCAGCGACUUAUAUUCUGUAGCAAGGUUAACCGAAUAGGGGAGCCGAAGGGAAACCGAGUCUUAACUGGGCGUUAAGUUGCAGGGUAUAGACCCGAAACCCGGUGAUCUAGCCAUGGGCAGGUUGAAGGUUGGGUAACACUAACUGGAGGACCGAACCGACUAAUGUUGAAAAAUUAGCGGAUGACUUGUGGCUGGGGGUGAAAGGCCAAUCAAACCGGGAGAUAGCUGGUUCUCCCCGAAAGCUAUUUAGGUAGCGCCUCGUGAAUUCAUCUCCGGGGGUAGAGCACUGUUUCGGCAAGGGGGUCAUCCCGACUUACCAACCCGAUGCAAACUGCGAAUACCGGAGAAUGUUAUCACGGGAGACACACGGCGGGUGCUAACGUCCGUCGUGAAGAGGGAAACAACCCAGACCGCCAGCUAAGGUCCCAAAGUCAUGGUUAAGUGGGAAACGAUGUGGGAAGGCCCAGACAGCCAGGAUGUUGGCUUAGAAGCAGCCAUCAUUUAAAGAAAGCGUAAUAGCUCACUGGUCGAGUCGGCCUGCGCGGAAGAUGUAACGGGGCUAAACCAUGCACCGAAGCUGCGGCAGCGACACUAUGUGUUGUUGGGUAGGGGAGCGUUCUGUAAGCCUGUGAAGGUGGCCUGUGAGGGUUGCUGGAGGUAUCAGAAGUGCGAAUGCUGACAUAAGUAACGAUAAAGCGGGUGAAAAGCCCGCUCGCCGGAAGACCAAGGGUUCCUGUCCAACGUUAAUCGGGGCAGGGUGAGUCGACCCCUAAGGCGAGGCCGAAAGGCGUAGUCGAUGGGAAACAGGUUAAUAUUCCUGUACUUGGUGUUACUGCGAAGGGGGGACGGAGAAGGCUAUGUUGGCCGGGCGACGGUUGUCCCGGUUUAAGCGUGUAGGCUGGUUUUCCAGGCAAAUCCGGAAAACCAAGGCUGAGGCGUGAUGACGAGGCACUACGGUGCUGAAGCGACAAAUGCCCUGCUUCCAGGAAAAGCCUCUAAGCAUCAGGUAACAUCAAAUCGUACCCCAAACCGACACAGGUGGUCAGGUAGAGAAUACCAAGGCGCUUGAGAGAACUCG